UGACCCUCUAUGAGCCCCAAUACCCAUGGCGAGGUCUCUGUUUCCAGGCUCUGCUGGCACCUGCCACCUCCAAGUGCAGGGCGUCACUGGGAGAUGAUGCUCUCCCUUCCAGUGAGUAAAUACAGCCGUAGCUGCCAGCAUCCUCAGCCUUCACAGAGGAGAGAGUGAAGUUGGCCACAUACCAUUGUGGUCUUUGUUGCUCUUCAGGUCCUGACACUCCAGGCCUCAGCAGAGAGACCGUGAAUUGUUGAUUAUUAUGGUGGGUGACGCCUGGCACAGGAGGGUCACCGUCUCUCCUCCCGUGACCACAGUGCUUGGUGCUCCCCGUAAGGAGGGUUGGGCGAAAUGCCCUGGGAAGGAAAAGGAGCAGAAUCAGAAGACAGAUGGUCCUGCUGUCACUCUCAGCAAGGGAUGAGAUGCCAGCCAAAAGGCUCUUUGGAAUUCUAAUCAGGAAGCGCGUUAUGGAAAAAGAUCUUCCGGUGUGUGUAGAGAUGAGCUUCCCGGCAGUGCCUGUGUGGACAUUACGGGCCCGCCGCCAUUGGUGAGGGUAACAUUAAUUCCAUGUGGAUCAUGUGAGCCGCCGGUGGGCUCCGCCGGACCCUUCUCUUCCCUCUCCCGCCUGGCCCCAGACUGCAAGGGAGGCCAGAGGAGCGGGCGGGCGCGCACCCGGCGGGGGGAGGGCAGGAGGAGGGGUCCUGGAGCUGAGGAGCAGGGCCCCCAGUUUGUGCCUGCAGACGGAGGUGCUGCGGGACAUGGAGCCGGGGACGAGGUCACCUGCUUCUACGGGCAGCGCAGAGCUGUGCGACUGCUGCACCAGUGAGAGGAAGGGAGAAGGCGCCUUCCGCCCGCGGCCCCGACUCCCAGGACCUGUGAAAAGCAGGAGCUGAAGGAGACCGAGAGGAGGCUGCAGCGCUACUGGGAGACCCGGGGGGCCCGGCAGGGGCCCCCACCCAGGGGGAAAGCGAUAAAGGGGGAGGGGAGGGGGCUCCCGCAGCCCCCCCCCCUGGUUCUCAGGGAGGCCGCCCCGCCUCAUCUUUCUCAUGGUGCUAUAGCUCCGGUACCUCCCGGGGAGUGAGGGGAGCGGGGGCCAGCACAGCCAGCCGGGGCCCUCGGCCUCCCCACCCCGGUCCCAGGGAUUGCGGACACUGGGUGACGGGCAGUUUGCAACUGGUUUUUUAAUAAAAGUCUUCUUGUUAA